UCAACCGAGAUUCCCCCAGUAGCGGCGAGCGAACGGGGAGGAGCCCAGAGCCUGAAUCAGCAUGUGUGUUAGUGGAAGCGUCUGGAAAGGCGCGCGAUACAGGGUGAGAGCCCCGUACACAAAAGCGCACAUGCUGUGAGCUCGAUGAGUAGGGCGGGACACGUGGUAUCCUGUCUGAAUAUGGGGGGACCAUCCUCCAAGGCUAAAUACUCCUGACUGACCGAUAGUGAACCAGUACCGUGAGGGAAAGGCGAAAAGAACCCCGGCGAGGGGAGUGAAACAGAACCUGAAACCGUGUACGUACAAGCAGUGGGAGCCUCUCUUUAUGGGGGGUGACUGCGUACCUUUUGUAUAAUGGGUCAGCGACUUAUAUUCUGUAGCAAGGUUAACCGCAUAGGGGAGCCGAAGGGAAACCGAGUCUUAAUUGGGCGUUAAGUUGCAGGGUAUAGACCCGAAACCCGGUGAUCUAGCCAUGGGCAGGUUGAAGGUUGGGUAACACUAACUGGAGGACCGAACCGACUAAUGUUGAAAAAUUAGCGGAUGACCUGUGGCUGGGGGUGAAAGGCCAAUCAAACCGGGAGAUAGCUGGUUCUCCCCGAAAGCUAUUUAGGUAGCGCCUCGUGAACUCAUCUCCGGGGGUAGAGCACUGUUUCGGCUAGGGGGCCAUCCCGGCUUACCAACCCGAUGCAAACUGCGAAUACCGGAGAAUGUUAUCACGGGAGACACACGGCGGGUGCUAACGUCCGUCGUGAAGAGGGAAACAACCCAGACCGCCAGCUAAGGUCCCAAAGUCAUGGUUAAGUGGGAAACGAUGUGGGAAGGCCCAGACAGCCAGGAUGUUGGCUUAGAAGCAGCCAUCAUUUAAAGAAAGCGUAAUAGCUCACUGGUCGAGUCGGCCUGCGCGGAAGAUGUAACGGGGCUAAACCAUGCACCGAAGCUGCGGCAGCGACACUUUAGUGUUGUUGGGUAGGGGAGCGUUCUGUAAGCCGUUGAAGGUGUCCUGUGAGGGGUGCUGGAGGUAUCAGAAGUGCGAAUGCUGACAUAAGUAACGAUAAAGCGGGUGAAAAGCCCGCUCGCCGGAAGACCAAGGGUUCCUGUCCAACGUUAAUCGGGGCAGGGUGAGUCGACCCCUAAGGCGAGGCCGAAAGGCGUAGUCGAUGGGAAACGGGUUAAUAUUCCCGUACUUGGUGUUACUGCGAAGGGGGGACGGAGAAGG
rnacentral:rRNA from 1 species